GACGAACGCUGGCGGCGUGCUUAACACAUGCAAGUCGAACGGAAAGGCCCUGCUUUUGUGGGGUGCUCGAGUGGCGAACGGGUGAGUAACACGGGAGUAACCUGCCCUUGACUUUGGGAUAACUUCAGGAAACUGGGGCUAAUACCGUAUAGGAGCUCCUGCUGCAUGGUGGGGGUUGGAAAGUUUCGGCGGUUGGGGAUGGACUCGCGGCUUAUCAGCUUGUUGGUGGGGGAGUGGCUUACCAAGGCUUUGACGGGUAGCCGGCCUGAGAGGGUGACCGGCACCAUUGGGACGGGGAUAGGGCCCAGACUCCUCCGGGAGGAAGCAGUGGGGAAUAUUGCACAAUGGGCGGAAGCCUGAUGCAGCAAGGCCGCGUGCGGGAUGACGGCCUUCGGGUUGUAAACCGCUUUCGCCUGUGACGAAGCGUGAGUGACGGUAAUGGGUAAAGAAGCACCGGCUAACUACGUG
rnacentral:rRNA from 1 species